rnacentral:lncRNA from 1 species
AAGCAAUUUGCUCAUAGCCAUAGCUUUCUUGUGAAAGUAGGAUAUUAACCCAGGUGUCUUGGUGCUGGAGAACAGAACUGGCCAGAGUCCAUCCUGUCUCCCACCGGCAUCCCAUUACGAAAUGAACACAGAAAAGGCAGGUCUGCAAUGCCAACAUCUAGUAUCUAUCCCAAAGACCAGGGAGAAAGGAAGGAAAGAUUCUGGUUCUGUCCUCUUCCCCAAGGCAAGGCUGGCUGCCCUACCAACAGAGGCAAAGAGAAGAGUGUGCAAGGCUGGCUGCCCUCCCAACAGAGGCAAAGAGGAGUGUGUGUUGAAAUAUCCAUUGAAUCCCUGAGACAACUGGAUCCUGGCCCAUUGAAUCAUAAACUCAUUUCAGAGAAGAUGAAACUGAUGUGCGUCAAAAAGUUAUGGAGGCUGGGAAGACCUAGAAUGUGGCAUCACUAUUUGGAAACCAUGCCGAUUACCGACCGAGCUCUCAAUGGAAAAAUGCAGUCGGCGUGAACCACGCACGAACACAGCAGAGAAAGAAGAAAACACACACCACGAGGAACCCUAAUAGGACAAUACAUUAUAAGUCACAGUGCUACGGAGAAACCCAGUAGCCACAUGGAAGCAGAGACCAUGCAUAUGCAUCUACUCCGCAGCUCUGUGAAUGUCAGCAGCUCCCACGGACUGGAGAUCCCGUGAGAUCCCGUGAGAUCUCACCCAUAGCCUCAUGGUACAUCCACUUGGUGUGCUGGGAGAGUCAGGAUGAGGACCUGAGAAGAACAGCAGCUUGAACCUGACUUCAUUUAACAGCCCACUGCCCUCUUGCCAAGAACCCAUCACAGACCUUCCCAGAAGAGAGGGAUGAGCCUCACCUAUGAAUAAGUCCUCAGAAACUCAAAUUUGAUUCUAAUGGAUUGUUUUCUCAGAAAGACUGAGCAUGUCCCCCCACAUCUCUGUCAUUUCCCACAGUAGUAACCUCUGCAGAUGCCACAUAGAAAACAAAACAAAACAAAAAAACAUGAGGUUGGUGGGCAGAUAGGCAGGGUAUAAACAAACAGCCUUGUAACCCAGAAGCUGUGUGAUAUACAGUAAACUUCACAACACUGAAAAGAUGUCCUAUCUGUUAAAAUGGGGUAAUAACAACUACCCGAAUGUUUAGGAAUAGAACUUCAAUAAAUGAUACAUUUUAUAGUACAGCAGACCAUCCUGUAAAGGUUUCAUCCUUCACUGUGGUGAUAAAUAUCCCAAACCACAUUGAAAAGCAUUGCAUCUACAUUUAUCUACACUGUAACUGUACUGUAAAUCAUGGGGGAGGGGAGAAUCAUAAAAACACCACCUGUCACCGUGUCAUUAAAGCAAGUUGGAAGUGAUACUUACAGAAACACAGCAAGAGCACCCCCAGUCACACAGUUCAAUCUCUUAGCAAGCGUUUUCUUUCUAGCCCAGUGGUUCUCAGUUUGGAAUUUUUGGCACUGCCUAGAGAUAGUUUUGUUGUUAAAACUGAGAAAAGAGCCGGGCGUGGUGGCACACGCCUUUAAUCCCAGCACUCAGGAGGCAGAGGCAGG